CCGUGCUAGAUGGGGAGUUGGCGGUGCCCUGUAACCUGCAACCCGCCUUAGCAGGAUUGAAUUCCCACAAGCGGUGCGAUAUAUGUGAGGUUUGCCUUAUGCAAGUAGUGUUGACCAUUGGGGUCUGCGCAACAGGAACCUACGAACUUGGUCAGAUCCGGAAGGAAGCAGCCAUAAGUAGAUCAUUCUGUGUGCCGCAGGUCGCCCUGAUCGAGCUGGCUACAUAAGUAACACUCAUGUGUCCGUAUCAAUUGUGGGUGCACGG
rnacentral:SRP_RNA from 1 species